GCGGCCGCUCCGUUUGAUCCCGGCGGAGGCCACUGCUAUCGGAGUUCGAUUAAGCCAUGCGAGUCGAGAGGUGCAAGACCUCGGCAUACUGCUCAGUAACACGUGGACAACCUACCCUAUGGAGGGGGAUAACCCCGGGAAACUGGGGAUAAUACCCCAUAGACUAUAGAUGCUGGAAUGCUUUGUAGUUGAAAGGUCCGCCGCCAUAGGAUGGGUCUGCGGCCGAUUAGGUUGUUGUUGGGGUAACGGCCCAACAAGCCUGUWAUCGGUACGGGUUGUGGGAGCAAGAGCCCGGAGAUGGAUUCUGAGACACGAAUCCAGGCCCUACGGGGCGCACAGGCGCGAAAACUUUACAAUGCGGGAAACCGUGAUAAGGGGAACUCCGAGUGCCCGUAAAAUCGGGCUGUCCACCAGUUUAAAUAACUGGUGAAGAAAGGGCCGGGCAAGACCGGUGCCAGCCGCCGCGGUAAUACCGGCGGCUCGAGUGGUGGCCACUAUUACUGGGCUUAAAGCGUUCGUAGCUGGUCUGUUAAGUCUCUGGGGAAAUCUACUGGCUUAACCAAUAGGCGUCUCAGGGAUACUGGCAGACUAGGGACCGGGAGAGGUGAGAGGUACUCCAGGGGUAGGAGUGAAAUCCUGUAAUCCUUGGGGGGCCACCUGUGGCGAAGGCGUCUCACCAGAACGGCUCCGACAGUGAGGGACGAAAGCUGGGGGAGMAAACCGGAUUAGAUACCCGGGUAGUCCCAGCUGUAAACGAUGCGCGUUAGGUGUAUCGGUGACCACGAGUCACCGAGGUGCCGAAGAGAAAUCGUGAAACGUGCCGCCUGGGAAGUACGGUCGCAAGGCUGAAACUUAAAGGAAUUGGCGGGGGAGCACCACAACAGGUGGAGCCUGCGGUUUAAUCGGACUCAACGCCGGAAAUCUCACCGGAUAAGACAGCUGGAUGAUAGUCGGGCUGAAGACUCUACUUGACUAGCUGAGAGGAGGUGCRAUGGCCGUCGUCAGUUCGUACUGUGAAGCAUCCUGUUAAGUCAGGCAACGAGCGAGACCC
rnacentral:rRNA from 1 species